rnacentral:rRNA from 1 species
AUAAACGUUUGCGGCGUGCCUGAUGCAUGCAAGUCGAACGCCCUGAUUUUUCGCAAGAUUGAUCAGGGAGUGGCGAACGGCUGAGUAACACGUAAGUGACCUGUCCUUAAGUGGGGGAUAACUUGCCGAAAGGCAGGCUAAUACCGCAUACGCUGGUAAGCGUUGGUUUACCAGCAAAGCUUUUGCGCUUGAGGAGGGGCUUGCGUCUGAUUAGCUAGUUGGUAAGGUAAUGGCUUACCAAGGCGAUGAUCAGUAGCUGGUCUGAGAGGACAACCAGCCAGACGGGGACUGAGAUACGGCCCUGACUCCUACGGGAGGCAGCAGCAAGGAAUUUUGCGCAAUGGGCGAAAGCCUGACGCAGCGACGCCGCGUGGGGGAUGACAGCCUUCGGGUUGUAAACCCCUUUUCAUGAGGAAGAAAUAUGACGGUACUCGUGGAAUAAGUCUUGGCUAACUACGU